rnacentral:rRNA from 1 species
GAUGAACGCUAGCGGCAGGCUUAAUACAUGCAAGUUGAGGGGCAGCAUGAUAUACGCGAGUAUAUUGAUGGCGACCGGCGGACGGGUGAGUAAUAGGUAGGAGACCUACUCAUACAGGGGGAGUAGCAUAGAGAAAUCUGUGGUAAUACCCCAUGAGGUUAUAUGAAUAGAGGCAUAUAAUCAAAGCAUAAGCGAUUAUGCGGUAUGAGAGGGGCCUACUGACCAUUAGCUAGUUGGUGAGGUAAGGGCUCACCAAGGCGAAGAUGGUUAGGGGUUUUGAGAGAGAGACCCCCCACAUUGGAACUGAGAGACGGUCCAGACUCCUACGGGAGGCAGCAGUAGGGAAUAUUGGGCAAUGGGCGAAAGCCUGACCCAGCCAUGCCGCGUGAAGGAAGACGGCCUUAUGGGUUAGUAAACUUCUUUACUACGCGAAUAGAGGUUAGUACGAGAUACUAAUAGGAAGGUAUGUAGUAAAAGCACCGGCUAACUCCGUG